rnacentral:tRNA from 1 species
GACCCCAUCGUCUAGCUUGGCCCAGGACACCGGCCUUUCACGCCGAGAACGCGGGUUCGAAUCCCGCUGGGGUCGCCA